rnacentral:rRNA from 1 species
AACGAACGCUGGCGGCAGGCCUAACACAUGCAAGUCGAGCGAGAACUUCGGUUCUAGCGGCGGACGGGUUAGUAACGCGUGGGAAUAUGCCCUUCACUACGGAAUAGUCCCGGGAAACUGGGUUUAAUACCGUAUACGCCCUUCGGGGGAAAGAUUUAUCGGUGAAGGAUUAGCCCGCGUUGGAUUAGGUAGUUGGUGGGGUAAUGGCCUACCAAGCCGACGAUCCAUAGCUGGUUUGAGAGGAUGAUCAGCAACACUGGGACUGAGACACGGCCCAGACUCCUACGGGAGGCAGCAGUGGGGAAUCUUCCACAAUGGGCGCAAGCCUGAUGGAGCAACGCCGCGUGAAUGAAGAAGGUCUUCGGAUCGUAAAGUUCUGUUAUUAGAGAAGAACACGUGUAAGAGUAACUGAUUAUGCGUUGACGGUAUCUAAUCAGCAAGUCACGGCUAACUACGUGCCAGCCGCCGCAGUAAAAC